GUCUAGUAUAAGCAUCUAUACCGUGAAACUGCGAAUGGCUCAUUAAAUCAGUUAUCGUUUAUUUGAUAGUACCUUACUACUUGGAUAACCGUGGUAAUUCUAGAGCUAAUACAUGCUAAAAACCCCGACUUCGGAAGGGGUGUAUUUAUUAGAUAAAAAACCAAUGCCCUUCGGGGCUCUCUGGUGAUUCAUAAUAACUUAACGAAUCGCAUGGCCUUGUGCCGGCGAUGGUUCAUUCAAAUUUCUGCCCUAUCAACUUUCGAUUGUAUGGUCUUGGCUUACAAUGGUUUCAACGGGUAACGGGGAAUUAGGGUUCUAUUCCGGAGAGGGAGCCUGAGAAACGGCUACCACAUCCAAGGAAGGCAGCAGGCGCGCAAAUUACCCAAUCCCGACACGGGGAGGUAGUGACAAUAAAUACUGAUACAGGGCUCUUUUGGGUCUUGUAAUUGGAAUGAGUACAAUUUAAAUCCCUUAACGAGGAACAAUUGGAGGGCAAGUCUGGUGCCAGCAGCCGCGGUAAUUCCAGCUCCAAUAGCGUAUAUUAAAGUUGUUGCAGUUAAAAAGCUCGUAGUUGAACCUUGGGCCUGGCUGGCCGGUCCGCCUCACCGCGUGCACUGGUCCGGCCGGGCCUUUCCUCCUGGGGAGCCGCAUGCCCUUCACUGGGUGUGUCGGGGAACCAGGACUUUUACUUUGAAAAAAUUAGAGUGUUCAAAGCAGGCCUAUGCUCGAAUACAUUAGCAUGGAAUAAUAGAAUAGGACGUGUGGUUCUAUUUUGUUGGUUUCUAGGACCGCCGUAAUGAUUAAUAGGGAUAGU
rnacentral:rRNA from 1 species